rnacentral:rRNA from 1 species
GUGCAGCAGUCGAGAAAACUUCACAAUGUGCGAAAGCACGAUGAGGGAAUCCCAAGUGCUUGCACGUAAGUGUAAGCUGUUUCUCUGUCUAAAACGCAGAGAGAGUAAGGGCUGGGUAAGACGGGUGCCAGCCGCCGCGGUAAUACCUGCAGCUCGAGUGGUGACCGUUAUUAUUGGGCCUAAAACGUCCGUAGCCGGUUUAAUAAAUGCCUGGGUAAAUCGGACCGCUUAACGGUUCGAAUUCCGGGUAGACUGUUAAACUUGAGACCGGGAGAAGUUAGAGGUACUCCUGGGGUAGAGGUGAAAUUCUGUAAUCCUAGGGGGACCACCAGUGGCGAAGGCGUCUAACUAGAACGGGUCUGACGGUGAGGGACGAAGCCC